rnacentral:rRNA from 1 species
GAUGAACGCUGGCGGCGUGCCUAAUACAUGCAAGUCGAGCGAACGGACGAGAAGCUUGCUUCUCUGAUGUUAGCGGCGGACGGGUGAGUAACACGUGGAUAACCUACCUAUAAGACUGGGAUAACUUCGGGAAACCGGAGCUAACACCGGAUGAUAUUUUGAACCGCAUGGUUCAAAAGUGAAAGACGGUCUUGCUGUCACUUAUAGAUGGAUCCGCGCUGCAUUAGCUAGUUGGUAAGGUAACGGCUUACCAAGGCAACGAUGCAUAGCCGACCUGAGAGGGUGAUCGGCCACACUGGAACUGAGACACGGUCCAGACUCCUACGGGAGGCAGCAGUAGGGAAUCUUCCGCAAUGGGCGAAAGCCUGACGGAGCAACGCCGCGUGAGUGAUGAAGGUCUUCGGAUCGUAAAGCUCUGUUAUUAGGGAAGAACAUAUGUGUAAGUAACUGUGCACAUCUUGACGGUACCUAAUCAGAAAGCCACGGCUAACUACGUG